rnacentral:RNase_P_RNA from 1 species
UCAGAUGGUUGGAUGAUCGCUCCUUUAUAGGAGAGGAAAGUCCGGGCUCCAUGAGACACAGUGCCGGGUAACACCCGGCGAGGGUAACCUCAGGGAAAGUGCCACAGAAAAUAAACCGCCAUUAUGGUAAGGGUGAAAAGGUGCGGUAAGAGCGCACCGCAAGUUUGGUAACAGGCUUGGCAAGGUAAACCCCACUGGGAGCAAGACCAAAUAGGAAUAGCAUUAGAAACAGUCUCUUUUCUCGCUAUUCGGGUAGGUUGCUAGAAGUUUAUGGUAACAUAAACUCAAGAUGAAUGAUCAUCACCAUUUAAAUGGAUACAGAACCCGGCUUAUAAACCAUCUGACAAA